UUCUAAUGUGGCAGAUUAGUGCAACGGAUUUAAACCCCGUAUAUAAAGCUCAGCCUUUUUUUAGAA
rnacentral:tRNA from 1 species